UAGAUGCUCGUAACUUGUUCCUUUGUUAUCUCAAUGUUUCCUCCUUUUGCUGUCAAGCCUUCAAAGCUCGACGUAGUCUGGUGACUGAGGAAUGCUCUCAGCUCGAGUCAUUCCAACAUAUCCAGCAGGCCAACUCGAACUGCGAAGUCCUGGAGAGCUUUGCUGCUUUGGCAGCCAAAAGGAGGACGAAUUGUGAUAACGACCGAUCAAGUUAUGAGCAUCUG